GACGGGGGGGGCAAGUGUUCUUCGGAAUGACUGGGCGUAAAGGGCACGUAGGCGGUUUGUCGCGUCGGGAGUGAAAUCCACUGGCUUAACUGGUGGCUUGCUUUCGAUACGGGCAGACUGGAGGCAUGCAGGGGAGAACGGAAUUCCUGGUGUAGCGGUGAAAUGCGCAGAUAUCAGGAGGAACACCGGUGGCGAAGGCGGUUCUCUGGGCAUGUCCUGACGCUGAGGAGCGAAAGCGUGGGGAGCAAACAGG
rnacentral:rRNA from 1 species